GGUCAAGUGAAGAAGCGCAUACGGUGGAUGCCUUGGCAGUCAGAGGCGAUGAAAGACGUGGUAGCCUGCGAAAAGCUUCGGGGAGUCGGCAAACAGACUUUGAUCCGGAGAUCUCUGAAUGGGGGAACCCACCUAGGAUAACCUAGGUAUCUUGUACUGAAUCCAUAGGUGCAAGAGGCGAACCAGGGGAACUGAAACAUCUAAGUACCCUGAGGAAAAGAAAUCAACCGAGAUUCCCUUAGUAGUGGCGAGCGAACGGGGAUUAGCCCUUAAGCUUCAUUGAUUUUAGCGGAACGCUCUGGAAAGUGCGGCCAUAGUGGGUGAUAGCCCCGUACGCGAAAGGAUCUUUGAAGUGAAAUCGAGUAGGACGGAGCACGAGAAACUUUGUCUGAACAUGGGGGGACCAUCCUCCAAGGCUAAAUACUACUGACUGACCGAUAGUGAACCAGUACCGUGAGGGAAAGGCGAAAAGAACCCCGGAGAGGGGAGUGAAAUAGAACCUGAAACCGUAUGCGUACAAGCAGUGGGAGCCUACUUGUUAGGUGACUGCGUACCUUUUGUAUAAUGGGUCAGCGACUUAUAUUCAGUGGCAAGCUUAACCGUAUAGGGUAGGCGUAGCGAAAGCGAGUCUUAAUAGGGCGUUUAGUCGCUGGGUAUAGACCCGAAACCGGGCGAUCUAUCCAUGAGCAGGUUGAAGGUUAGGUAACACUGACUGGAGGACCGAACCCACUCCCGUUGAAAAGGUAGGGGAUGACUUGUGGAUCGGAGUGAAAGGCUAAUCAAGCUCGGAGAUAGCUGGUUCUCCUCGAAAGCUAUUUAGGUAGCGCCUCAUGUAUCACUCUGGGGGGUAGAGCACUGUUUCGGCUAGGGGGUCAUCCCGACUUACCAAACCGAUGCAAACUCCGAAUACCCAGAAGUGCCGAGCAUGGGAGACACACGGCGGGUGCUAACGUCCGUCGUGAAAAGGGAAACAACCCAGACCGCCAGCUAAGGUCCCAAAGUUGUGGUUAAGUGGUAAACGAUGUGGGAAGGCUUAGACAGCUAGGAGGUUGGCUUAGAAGCAGCCAUCCUUUAAAGAAAGCGUAAUAGCUCACUAGUCGAGUCGGCCUGCGCGGAAGAUGUAACGGGGCUCAAACCACACACCGAAGCUGCGGGUGUCACGUAAGUGACGCGGUAGAGGAGCGUUCUGUAAGCCUGUGAAGGUGAGUUGAGAAGCUUGCUGGAGGUAUCAAANNNNNNNNNNNNNNNNNNNNNNNNNNNNNNNNNNNNNNNNNNNNNNNNNNNNNNNNNNNNNNNNNNNNNNNNNNNNNNNNNNNNNNNNNNGGUAUCAGAAGUGCGAAUGCUGACAUGAGUAACGACAAUGGGUGUGAAAAACACCCACGCCGAAAGACCAAGGGUUCCUGCGCAACGUUAAUCGACGCAGGGUUAGUCGGUUCCUAAGGCGAGGCUGAAAAGCGUAGUCGAUGGGAAACAGGUUAAUAUUCCUGUACUUCUGGUUACUGCGAUGGAGGGACGGAGAAGGCUAGGCCAGCUUGGCGUUGGUUGUCCAAGUUUAAGGUGGUAGGCUGAAAUCUUAGGUAAAUCCGGGGUUUCAAGGCCGAGAGCUGAUGACGAGUCGUCUUUUAGAUGACGAAGUGGUUGAUGCCAUGCUUCCAAGAAAAGCUUCUAAGCUUCAGGUAACCAGGAACCGUACCCCAAACCGACACAGGUGGUCGGGUAGAGAAUACCAAGGCGCUUGAGAGAACUCGGGUGAAGGAACUAGGCAAAAUGGCACCGUAACUUCGGGAGAAGGUGCGCCGGCUAGGGUGAAGGAUUUACUCCGUAAGCUCUGGCUGGUCGAAGAUACCAGGCCGCUGCGACUGUUUAUUAAAAACACAGCACUCUGCAAACACGAAAGUGGACGUAUAGGGUGUGACGCCUGCCCGGUGCCGGAAGGUUAAUUGAUGGGGUUAGCGCAAGCGAAGCUCUUGAUCGAAGCCCCGGUAAACGGCGGCCGUAACUAUAACGGUCCUAAGGUAGCGAAAUUCCUUGUCGGGUAAGUUCCGACCUGCACGAAUGGCGUAACGAUGGCGGCGCUGUCUCCACCCGAGACUCAGUGAAAUUGAAAUCGCUGUGAAGAUGCAGUGUAUCCGCGGCUAGACGGAAAGACCCCGUGAACCUUUACUGUAGCUUUGCACUGGACUUUGAGCCUGCUUGUGUAGGAUAGGUGGGAGGCUUUGAAGCGUGGACGCCAGUUCGCGUGGAGCCAUCCUUGAAAUACCACCCUGGCAUGCUUGAGGUUCUAACUCUGGUCCGUGAUCCGGAUCGAGGACAGUGUAUGGUGGGCAGUUUGACUGGGGCGGUCUCCUCCUAAAGAGUAACGGAGGAGUACGAAGGUGCGCUCAGACCGGUCGGAAAUCGGUCGCAGAGUAUAAAGGCAAAAGCGCGCUUGACUGCGAGACAGACACGUCGAGCAGGUACGAAAGUAGGUCUUAGUGAUCCGGUGGUUCUGUAUGGAAGGGCCAUCGCUCAACGGAUAAAAGGUACUCCGGGGAUAACAGGCUGAUACCGCCCAAGAGUUCAUAUCGACGGCGGUGUUUGGCACCUCGAUGUCGGCUCAUCACAUCCUGGGGCUGAAGCCGGUCCCAAGGGUAUGGCUGUUCGCCAUUUAAAGUGGUACGCGAGCUGGGUUUAGAACGUCGUGAGACAGUUCGGUCCCUAUCUGCCGUGGACGUUUGAGAUUUGAGAGGGGCUGCUCCUAGUACGAGAGGACCGGAGUGGACGAACCUCUGGUGUUCCGGUUGUCACGCCAGUGGCAUUGCCGGGUAGCUAUGUUCGGAAAAGAUAACCGCUGAAAGCAUCUAAGCGGGAAACUUGCCUCAAGAUGAGAUCUCACUGGGAACUUGAUUCCCCUGAAGGGCCGUCGAAGACUACGACGUUGAUAGGCUGGGUGUGUAAGCGUUGUGAGGCGUUGAGCUAACCAGUACUAAUUGCCCGUGAGGCUUGACCAU
rnacentral:rRNA from 1 species